rnacentral:rRNA from 1 species
AGUGAACGCUGGCGGUAGGCCUAACACAUGCAAGUCGAACGGCAGCACAGUAAGAGCUUGCUCUUACGGGUGGCGAGUGGCGGACGGGUGAGGAAUACAUCGGAAUCUACUUUUUCGUGGGGGAUAACGUAGGGAAACUUACGCUAGUACCGCAUACGACCUACGGGUGAAAGCAGGGGAUCUUCGGACCUUGCGCGAUUGAAUGAGCCGAUGUCGGAUUAGCUAGUUGGCGGGGUAAAGGCCCACCAAGGCGACGAUCCGUAGCUGGUCUGAGAGGAUGAUCAGCCACACUGGAACUGAGACACGGUCCAGACUCCUACGGGAGGCAGCAGUGGGGAAUAUUGGACAAUGGGCGCAAGCCUGAUCCAGCCAUACCGCGUGGGUGAAGAAGGCCUUCGGGUUGUAAAGCCCUUUUGUUGGGAAAGAAAAGCAGCAGGUUAAUACCCCGCUGUUCUGGCGGUACCCAAAGAAUAAGCACCGGCUAACUUCGUG